GUAGGUGGCAAGCGUUGUCCGGAAUUAUUGGGCGUAAAGCGCGCGCAGGCGGUUCUUUAAGUCUGAUGUGAAAGCCCACGGCUCAACCGUGGAGGGUCAUUGGAAACUGGAGAACUUGAGUACAGAAGAGGAAAGCGGAAUUCCACGUGUAGCGGUGAAAUGCGUAGAGAUGUGGAGGAACACCAGUGGCGAAGGCGGCUUUCUGGUCUGUAACUGACGCUGAGGCGCGAAAGCGUGGGGAGCAAACAGGAUUAGAUACCCUGGUAGUCCACGCCGUAAACGAUGAGUGCUAAUGUUAGGGGGGUUUCCGCCCCCCUUAGUGCUGCAGCUAACGCAUUAAGCACUCCGCCUGGGAGUACGGCCGCAAGGCUG
rnacentral:rRNA from 1 species